rnacentral:rRNA from 1 species
GACGGACGCUGGCGGCGUGCUUAACACAUGCAAGUCGAACGAUGAAGCUGGAGCUUGCUCCGGUGGAUUAGUGGCGAACGGGUGAGUAACACGUGAGCAAUCUGCCCUUGACUCUGGGAUAACUGCGGGAAACUGUAGCUAAUACCGGAUACGAGAUUUGGAGGCAUCUCCGGAUCUGGAAAGAAUUUCGGUCAAGGAUGAGCUCGCGGCCUAUCAGCUUGUUGGUAAGGUAAUGGCUCACCAAGGCGACGACGGGUAGCCGGCCUGAGAGGGUGACCGGCCACACUGGGACUGAGACACGGCCCAGACUCCUACGGGAGGCAGCAGUGGGGAAUAUUGCACAAUGGGCGAAAGCCUGAUGCAGCAACGCCGCGUGAGGGAUGAAGGCCUUCGGGUUGUAAACCUCUUUUAGUAGGGAAGAAGCGAAAGUGACGGUACCUACAGAAAAAGCACCGGCUAACUACGUGCCAGCCGCCGCCGUAA